AUUAGAUACCCCGGUAGUCCUGGCCGUAAACGAUGGGUACUAGGUGUAGGAGGUAUCGACCCCUUCUGUGCCGGAGUUAACGCAAUAAGUACCCCGCCUGGGGAGUACGACCGCAAGGUUGAAACUCAAAGGAAUUGACGGGGGCCCGCACAAGCGGUGGAGUAUGUGGUUUAAUUCGACGCAACGCGAAGAACCUUACCAGGUCUUGACAUUGAUGGACAGAACCAGAGAUGGUUCCUCUUCUUCGGAAGCCAGAAAACAGGUGGUGCACGGUUGUCGUCAGCUCGUGUCGUGAGAUGUUGGGUUAAAUCCCGCAACGAGCGCAACCCCUAUCUUAUGUUGCCAGCACGUAAUGGUGGGAACUCAUGAGAGACUGCCGCAGACAAUGCGGAGGAAGGCGGGGAUGACGUCAAAUCAUCAUGCCCCUUAUGACCUGGGCUACACACGUACUACAAUGGGAGUUAAUAGACGGAAGCGAGAUCGCGAGAUGGAGCAAACCCGAGAAACACUCUCUCAGUUCGGAUCGUAGGCUGCAACUCGCCUACGUGAAGUCGGAAUCGCUAGUAAUCGCAGGUCAGCAUACUGCGGUGAAUACGUUCCCGGGCCUUGUACACACCGCCCGUCACACCACGAAAGUCGGAAGUGCCCAAAGCCGGNGGGGUAACCUUCGGGAGCCANCC
rnacentral:rRNA from 1 species